ensembl:lncRNA
AUUUAUUUAAAAUAUAAAUAUUUCCUAAUAUUAUACAUCAUUGUCACUUUUGAUCAAUUUAAUGUUUCUUAAGCACCAAAUUAGCAUAUGAUUUCUGAAGGAUCAUGUGACACUGAAGACUGGAGUAAUGAUGCUGAAAAUUCAGCUUUGCAUCAGAGGAAUAAAUUGCAUUAUAAAAACAAGUAACAUUUAAAGAAAAUUGUAAUGUAUGUCAAGAUCAAUACAUAUGAAACAGCAGGAUUUUUAAUCAAUGAGUAAAAAUGAGUAUAAGGUUACACUCCUAGAAAAGGUUCAGAUAUUUUUACAUUAUUAAGUAACAUCUUGGUUAGAAUUCUUACAGCCACACAUGAACACUUUUACAUCACCUUUACUCAGACUACACCUGCUUGGUGCCUCGAUUUGAUUGGCUGGGUUUAGCCAGGGUUCAGAGAGAGUGUGACUUUGUUCUGGUUGGUUGUUUGCAGAUCUGUGGAGCCUGAAGACCAGGUGAGAAGCAGUGUGGAACUGCUCAUAAAUCAUUCCAUGUGAGUGGAGGAAGUUUUUAAUGAAAGCAGGAGGACAUGGGGGUCUGGCACAGUGCUUGGUUAGCCAUCCAUUUCCUCAAAUGGCCUUUCAUCAUGCUGUGGAUUUCCUCUCUAUCACAGUCUAACCUGAGAUCAGACCACAUCACACAGGAGAGUGUCGGCAUCUGAAACAUUGCUGAAAGCAUCUUUCUACUACAGCCACUGAAGGUGUGAAGGAACACCAUCCUCCAGAAAUACCGUCUAAGAUGUCGAUCACUAACUUAAAGUAAAAUUAAAUAUCAAUAUGGUCUGUAUGUUAUUUUAAUUUAUUUUAUUUCAUUUUAUUUUAUCUCAUUUUUUUUUUUAUUCUAUUUCAUACUAAGCACAGUGCCUACAGUAAAGAUGGAUUACAGCUGUCUGAUGUGCAGUCCCUCUCUUCAUGGCCAGUCUGAAAGAUUUCACAUUGCAAAACCUUCCAGAAUUCAUUAAAUCAACAUGCGGGUUGAACUUCCUCCAACUCUUCUUUGAGCCAAGGUUUAUGCGACAAAAUAACUUCUACAGUAGUGUUUUCUGUGUUUUUGAGGUGUCGGCAUCUGACACAUUGCUGAAAGCAUCUGUCUACCACAGCACUGAAGGUGUGAAGGAACACCAUCCUCCAGAGAUACCGUCUGACAGUCACAUUUGAAAAGAAUUCCACAAAGGAUCCACCUGCUCCCAGUAAAGCUCCUCUUGAAGUGUCCGCUCUUUUCUGGUUCCUCUCAGUGCAUUCAGAGAAUUGAUAUGUCCAUCAGGAUGAUGACCUUCGAUGGAUUUCCGGUUCACUGGAUGGAGGAAUGGAACAGCUACAAAUGUCUGGCACUUUCUGUGUUGAGACACUAUUUAUUAAAAAAAAAAAAAAAUUAAACAAUAACAACAUGAUAAAGGUUUAUUUAUAGUUGCCUGUACAUGUUAAACUGGAUUGUUUGUUGUUAAUUGUUUUAGAAACUGUUAAUGUCAAUGUUCAGUAGCAACAGUAAAAAAAAAAUGAUCUGAGGAGAAGCCUUUCCCCUUCUCUUUCCUUUUCUUAUAUU